CUUUAAGGAAUGUGUUUUGAGCAUCCACUAUGUUCAGGUCACUGUGUUACAUAUGUGGAAAUAUGGAGAUGAGUAUGUGCAAUCUGUAUGAGCCCAUACCAGGUGUGGAAUACCUAUCCAGCUUUGUUU